rnacentral:rRNA from 1 species
GAUGAACGCUGGCGGCGUGCCUAAUACAUGCAAGUCGAGCGAACAGACGAGGAGCUUGCUCCUCUGACGUUAGCGGCGGACGGGUGAGUAACACGUGGAUAACCUACCUAUAAGACUGGGAUAACUUCGGGAAACCGGAGCUAAUACCGGAUAAUAUAUUGAACCGCAUGGUUCAAUAGUGAAAGACGGUUUUGCUGUCACUUAUAGAUGGAUCCGCGCCGCAUUAGCUAGUUGGUAAGGUAACGGCUUACCAAGGCAACGAUGCGUAGCCGACCUGAGAGGGUGAUCGGCCACACUGGAACUGAGACACGGUCCAGACUCCUACGGGAGGCAGCAGUAGGGAAUCUGCCGCAAUGGGCGAAAGCCUGACGGAGCAACGCCGAGUGAGUGAUGAAGGUCUUCGGAUCGUAAAACUCUGUUAUUAGGGAAGAACAAAUGUGUAAGUAACUAUGCACGUCUUGACGGUACCUAAUCAGAAAGCCACGGCUAACUACGUG